rnacentral:rRNA from 1 species
UACGGGGGGAGCAAGCGUUGUCCGGAUUUAUUGGGCGUAAAGAGCGUGUAGGCGGCCAUACAGGUCAGCUGUGAAAACUCGAGGCUCAACCUCGAGACGUCGGUUGAAACCGUAUGGCUAGAGUCCGGAAGAGGAGAGUGGAAUUCCCGAUGUAGCGGUGAAAUGCGCAGAUAUCGGGAAGAACACCUAUGGCGAAGGCAGCUCUCUGGGACGGUACUGACGCUGAGACGCGAAAGCGUGGGGAGCAAACAGG